UCAUUCAGAAUGUGAAAUUCAGAAAUGCGCGUGCGCAACAUUCGCGAAAUAUUUUGUAAUUUUUUCAAGAUGGUAGACAUCGUCGCAUGCCUGAUAAACAUUGUUUUCCAAAUUGGAUGCUCUACUGAUUUUGAACAAAGACUGACUUUCAUGACUAUAAAGCGUUUGUUUUAAUUUUAUAAUGUUUGAUAACAUGUUGGCGAAGACAAAAAAAUUGUUGGUGUCUAUGGUGAAAAGCAAGAAAACGAAAGAAGAAUAUUUCAUUGUCAAGAACGUAUUUUUUUUCUGACAGGGGCAAAAGGAGCAAAUGAAAAUGCCUAAAACUAACAUUCUAAAGUUUUCCAAGACUAUUCAUAGUUAUUUUUAUUAAUUUCAAACAUUGUAUUACCAGAAGAAAUCCACGUUCUGGUGCUUACAUUUUUUUGCUCUGAAAAAUUGGCCUUCAAAGUCAAGAUAUUUUGGUGGCCUGUAGCUAGCUAUAAAUGGCACUUGAAUGAUGAUGUUAUGAGUAGUAUAAUGAAUUUAUCCAUGUGGCGUCAACAACCUGUUAAAGCGUUUAUGGAUUACUCCUUGUAUGGUUUCAAUUGUUUGGGAUACUUUUUGUUGCAAACAGAACUACUAUGCACAUUAUAUGGUUCUUAUUGGAAGACCUAUUUAAAGAAUUAUGUUAAUGUACAGUUUUUAUUUUUAUGUUUGCUAAAUGAAAUACACAAAUUAUAUUGUAA